rnacentral:misc_RNA from 1 species
GAAACUUGCCUGAUUCACCGUCGGAAACUGCUGAGGGAAAUUAGUGUCUGAGAAAGAAAAAUCAGGAUUAGGAAACUGAUUCGAUUCAGCUGAAAACUCGGAGAGAUUAUGGAACUGAGUCAGCGAUUCGCUGUGGGUGAGAGGAUUCGUUUUUGAAAGCGAAGCAGAAUCGUCGUGCAAGCCAAGUUCUCUCAUCAAAGAAUCCCAAUCUUCAAAGUUACUCAGAACAUGAUCUCCUAAUUGAAGAGGAUCUUCAC